AGUGAACGUUGGCGGCGUGGAUUAGGCAUGCAAGUCGAGCGAGAACCGUAGCAAUACGGGGACAGCGGCGAAAGGGACAGUAAUGUGUAGGUACCUACCCCGGGGUCUGGGAUAGCUGCGGGAAACUGCAGGUAAUACCGGAUAAUGUCUUCGGACCAAAGGUGUGAUUCCACCUUGGGAGGGGCCUGCAUCCUAUUAGCUUGUUGGCGGGGUAACGGCCCACCAAGGCAACGAUGGGUAGCGGGUGUGAGAGCACGACCCGCGUCAUUGGGACUGAGAUCCUGCCCAGGCACCUACGGGUGGCUGCAGUCGAGGAGCUUCGGCAAUGGGCGAAAGCCUGACCGAGCGACGCCGCGUGCGGGAUGAAGGCCUUCGGGUUGUAAACCGCUGUCGUAGAGGAGGAAAUGCAGGGGGGUUCUCCCUUCUGUUUGACCUAUUCUAGGAGGAAGGACGGGCUAAGUUCGUGCCAGCAGCCGCAGUAA
rnacentral:rRNA from 1 species